AACCAUAGAAACCUGCGGAGUACCUGCGGAAGGAUCAUUACCGAGUCACGCACUCAAAUAACCCUUCUGUGGACCUAAAUCAAAACCGUUGCCUCGGCGGGCGGUCCCCUACCCAAAACCCCACGUGGUGCGGGGUAGGGGACCAGACAGUCCGGCACGCUUAAGGCGUCCGGCGCCAGCCGCUGGCCCUAAACAAUUAAACUCUAGUAACCUUACCUUCUGAGUUUUAAUACAAAAAAA
rnacentral:misc_RNA from 1 species